ACGAGCGUCACGUUUUGGGUCCGGAGGCGUCCCGGGUGCAAUGCGGCAAACCCGCGCGAGUAGGUACCCAACUGCAGUCAGUUUUGACUGCGAUUGCGUUCCGUUCAGUUUUUAUCGCGCGGGUGCAAUGUUUUUUGCACGCGCGUGAUAAAAAA